AAAGAAGUUUGUACCUCUAAUGUGAAAUAUCAAGGAGCAAGGAAAAAAAUGGGGAAGAAAUAAGGCCAUUUCCCAUGUUCUACUAACUGAGAAAAAGGGUGUCUACAGCAAGUUGCUUGGUUUCUGGGACCCAGCUCCACAAUAAUGAGACUCCAUGGUUUCCUCUUGGCUCUCUUUGCUGUCUUCCAGGUACUGCACGCUAUCAGCAGUGCCCUCAAUUUUGAAAGACCUUGCUACCUCCGAGGGGGUAUCUGCCUGAAGCAGGGAACACCAAACUGUGAGCCUUUCCGAGGACCCUGCCGAGCUUUCACUGUUUGCUGCAAAAUAAGAAGUUGACACGCAAGAGGCUCAAGGAACCUGGCAGGCAAGGGAUCUGACUUUGGAUCCUGUGGUCUGAGUGAGAGCAACAUGUUCAAGUCUAAACCAUACAUCGCACUGCCAUCACCAUUGCUGGCUAUUGUGGCCAAAGAAGAGGUAGGCCGAGGGAGGAAGACAAUGGGGAGAAUUCAUUUAUAAUAUAACAUUUACAAAGAUUUUUAUUCAUAUAUAUAAUCCUUGAAAUCAUUCUGUUUUAUUGAACACAUUUUAUAGAUAUAGAAAUUAAAAUUUAGCCAGGUUGAAAAACUUGCCAAAAAAUAUCACAGACAAUAAGUAGAAAUGCCAAGUCAAAGACUCUUCUAUUUUCCAAAGAAACUCUGCCUGUAUGGGGCUGUUUGCAAAAGAAUUCACCAGUGGGAGGUGGGCUAGCUGGAGACCAGCUACUGCAGUAGCUAAAGUGUCAUGCAAAAAGCUCUCUGAGGAGUGGCACCAUGAUGCUGGGCCUGAGGAGGAAGCCUCUGUAGGUUUCUAUUGCUAUAAUAAACAUC